CCUGGAUGUGGGAAACAGCUCCUCUCAAAGCAGACUGUUUCAGACUGCCGUGCACUGAGAGCGUGAAGGUUUCCUCACAGGCAGAGACCUUGGAGGCACCAUGGUGCAGCGGCAGCAGAGAGGUUCUGAAGGGUAGGAAGGGUUUUGACGACCCAGAAAAAGAGUGGAACAACAGAGGCUCAGCCAUGAGGAGCUGCUGGUGUCUUCAGAGAGUGGGAGGGGACAAGAAGGUGCAACUAAGACGGGAAAGAGACUUCGUUUCUAUAACCAAUCAUGUAGAGUGCCCCAGACACAGCCUCAGAAGACCACGGUCCUCCCCAAAUCAAUGGCUUCUCCAUGCUAGGCCCAGUCUUCCCAUCAGCAAGGUUGAUGCGAACGUCCCCCACUGGAAGUUCUCAUUCCGAGAAGGUGAUGCUGACUUUUGAGAGGAGACCUGUGGUCGUGGUGCAGCGUUCUCCACGUGCUUGACGAAACAACAGCUGCAGAGAUGAAGGAGACGCAUGUCUUCACAUGUUUGGGGGCCGAGCAUCCUGGUGCUCAGACAUCAGACCUGGAGAAAGAAUAUGAAGAUGCUUCAGAUCUAGGGGGAGAAAAUAGAGGUCCUUGGAAUUCGCAUCCAUCCUUUUCCUGUUCCAAGAGCCUGCCAGUUCUUCUUCUGACUAACCAGGCUUGUUAACUGAAGCAUGUCAACCCAGGAUAUGGUUUUUGUGCUUAAAUGCUCACCCUGACAAAGGCUGUUGCUACCGUGGAAUCCUAUUACCCAGUGUAGUGGCUAGCCAGGAUCUUGCUAUGAGUCGGCUGGCCUGGAACAGAAGGAACUCGGACCUGAGUCUCCCAAGCUCUGAGAUCACCAGUGUACACCAUGCCUUUCCAGUCCUAAGCCCUUAGACGACUGGACAGCCCAGUGUCCUGAGACACUUCGGAUGGCCUCUGCAGGGAUGUGCAUUCUAACAUAGCAGCGUGAUUGGCUAGUAGCUCCGUUUUUACAAAUGCACUUGUGUUGACUUAUAGAUUGGGACAUUUCUAUACAAAAUUGCUUUCUAGUAAUUAGAUAAUUUGAGAUGUGUUUUAUAACCCCGAUUUUAAUUUUACUUAAAUUUAAAGUUCACUCCAGUUAUAAACAUAAUCUGUUUCUACUAUACCAAUCUGGUGGCUAUUAUGCAAUAUGGACAUAAUUAACAUCUCCUUGUAUUCAUGUCCCCUCCUCCUGUAAAAAAACCAACUGGUCAAAAUCCAUAGAAGGAAGUUCUUAGAGGUGGAUAACAGGAUAGAGUGCACCCCAUUCCCCUGUCUUGUUGCUUCCAGGUCACUAAAUCUCAGACCCCUAAACCAAUAGAAGGGCCUUUGUCCCUGGAUGGAGCUCUCAG
ensembl:lncRNA